GGACUCUUGGUUGCUCUCGUUGGAGCUCUCUGCUCUCCUUGCUUGGGGGCUGUGGGACCAAGCCCUCGUUAGGAGGCUCCUGACUUGUCUCCAAACCCUGCACGGGGCUCCGGCCAGCCUACAGAGGUAAGUCUUGGCCUUGCUUCUCUGAUACACAGGGAAACACUGCUUCCACGCUGCCUGUAUGGGUGCCCACUGGUUUGACCCCAGGCCAGGAAGAGUCUGUUUGGAGCAUCUCACAGUGCUGCCCCCUGAAUCGUGGCCCUUGACCACCUCAGGAAGAAUCUGGCAUGCCAGGGGAUGAGAUGCACGCUCAGCUAAGACCUGAGCAUUUCAUAACAGUUGCCAACCCAAACCCAAACAUUUGCAAGGCGUGGGGACAAACUGUGAUGGGAAGGGAGGUGGCUGUCACGGCCCUGAGUGCCCCGACAGGCUCUGCAACCUGCCCCUCCUGUGCCCAGGGUCAGCCCUGACGUAGGACAGCUGUAACCUUAGAUCAGACCGCUGCACAAACAGCUCGGCUGGGAGAAAGAGCUACGAGGAGUCCUGUCUGGUGCCUUCACCCACAAACCCUCCGGCACUUGGCCCGUGAGCUCUGGCUGUGCCCUGCUCCACCUUGCCAAGCCACCCACUUGUGCUUGCUUCCUUCAGAGGGAAUGAGGAAGAUGAAGCCUGCCACCCUGCUGAGAGCGUGGGAGGGCAAUGUGGCAGCUAUGGAAUAAACACUGGCUACAGACCAGUGUCCUGAGCUACCUUGCCUUGUCAGCCGUUAGCAGAGGAGCAUCAUCAUGCAAGAUCUCAGCAGAAAGAUUCCAAAGCAGCAAAACUCAGCGGGGAUGGAAUCAGACUGUGAAACAAGCAAGAUCUGCAGCAGCAUGAUGACAUGCUUUGAUGACUGGAAGAUGUUAGAAGAACAGAAGAACUUUAAUAGUUAUUCAGUGCUCAUGGUGCUAAGCAAUGCUGCUAUUACUUAGAAAUAGCAACAACUUGAUUAUACUCAGAUAAUGUCCCCACGUAAAGAUCUGUGAGUUCAGAGCUGUCACGUUCAAUAACUUAGGUUUCUUUAUACUGUUUUUAUCCUGCUAUUGUUGAGAUGAAUGUCCCAUGAGAAGAUAUAGUUUGUGCUUAGUAACUGCCACAAUGCCCGCAACAAGGAACGGGGAUCACUCCUGAUGCUUCUGGACUUUUUUAUGUACAUGGCACCACCAGAAGGAAGGAGGUAAUCUGCUUUGCUAUGCAAUGUUCCCACUUCAUCUUCUGCAGUGGCUGCCAAUUGAAAAGGAAAAUCCAUUUGUCACCUAGGAUGUACUGUAGUGCAGACUUCAUCUUGAAGUACCAGUGCAAGAACUAAGCUAGAGGGCUUAAGUUUUACUUUCAUCAACACCUUCCAGAAGAGCCUGGUAACACUGCUUCGUUUUUGACUUGGUGUCCAAGUGUUUUGGCUUUAUGUGGCAAGGUUUUGGUAGUGGGGGGCUGUAGGGGUGCCCUCUGUGAGCAGAGCCCAGCAGUUGCCCCAUGGCAGAUCAGAGCUAGCUCCAACUGGCUCCAAAAGGGACCUGCUGCUGGCCAGAGCCGAGCCAUGAGUGGUGCUGGUUGGGCCUCUGGGAGAGCAG